GGUGGUAAAAUUGGAGGUGACUAGGCUUUGACGUGAUCAUUCCUUGAGUUCAAAGCCGAUAGUGUUCUUGAGAAGAUAAGACUGCAGUAGCGCAUCGGUUAGGAAUGACCUCAUCCAACUUCUAUGUGGAUCACCGUUGGAGGACUUCUAUUUUGGAGUCUCAUGAAGAUAACCAACAUGCCACUUUUUAUUUUGGUGAAAGUAUAAAAUUUUAUCCCUUUGCAUGCUUGUUUAUGUUUUGAUCGAUAUCGAUAAGGUGAUUGUAGGAUUUGGAUUUUGGCUCAAUAGUUUUAAUUGUUUAAGCCAUUGACUUACUUAUUUUUAAAUUUUUAAAAAGUA
rnacentral:lncRNA from 1 species